CAGGGCCAGGGCCUACGAUUGCUUCGACUCGUUUGCUGAAAGAGAACUUGGGUGCUACCGCUGCAAUCAUUCACAAUGAUUACUUUUGUUAUAUUUUGAAGCUUGGACUCUGAAGUGUCAAAGAAAUUCCCUAGGAUGCUUUAAGUGACCUCAUGCCUUAUAGGCUUUGUCAGCCACCCAUAGAUGCAAGUUCUUGCUUGGCCAUUAGUGAGAAAGAUAAUGCAUCGAAGCAAGAGUAAGAGCAAAAGAAAAAAGGAGGAGAAAAUGAAAGAAAACAGGUGAGGAGUAAAGUUGCGUCUUGAGUACAGCUCUAGAUCGUGACACCGGGCCUGACCCUGAGUUAAAAACAUGGUGAGGAAGCAAUUGGUUUAUUUCCAGUCCAGUUCAGCUUUGAAACGCUAAAACUAACUAGUCGGAUAUUACCUGAGCAAUGAAGCUGAGACACUGUAAACAGAAUGUGUGGUGACACGACAGCAGUUUUGGUUGUCGCCCGCUGUAGGAUUCCAGACACACGCUGCA
rnacentral:lncRNA from 1 species